GCCUUGAUGGCUCAGUUGGUUAGAGCGCAGGUCUCAUACGCAAGUAUGACGGUCCCUUAGACCGGUAAUCCUGAGGUCGUGAGUUCGAUCCUCACUCGGGGCA